CGAAUGCUGACAUAAGUAACGAUAAAGCGGGUGAAAAGCCCGCUCGCCGGAAGACCAAGGGUUCCUGUCCAACGUUAAUCGGGGCAGGGUGAGUCGACCCCUAAGGCGAGGCCGAAAGGCGUAGUCGAUGGGAAACAGGUUAAUAUUCCUGUACUUGGUGUUACUGCGAAGGGGGGACGGAGAAGGCUAUGUUGGCCGGGCGACGGUUGUCCCGGUUUAAGCGUGUAGGCUGGUUUUCCAGGCAAAUCCGGAAAAUCAAGGCUGA
rnacentral:rRNA from 1 species